GCUGGCGGCGUGCCUAACACAUGCAAGUCGAACGAGAAAGUCCUGCUUGCAGGAUGAGUAAAGUGGCGCACGGGUGAGUAACACGUGGAUAAUCUGCCUCUAAGCGGGAAUAACAUUUCGAAAGGAAUGCUAAUACCUCAUAAUGUAUUUUUUCUUCGGAGAGAAUAGCCAAAGGUGACCUCUGUCUCAAGUUGCCGCUUAGAGAUGAGUCCGCGGCCCAUUAGCUAGUUGGUAAGGUAAUAGCCUACCAAGGCAACGAUGGGUAGCUGGUCUGAGAGGAUGAUCAGCCACACUGGAACUGAGAUACGGUCCAGACUCCUACGGGAGGCAGCAGUGAGGAAUCUUGCGCAAUGGGGGAAACCCUGACGCAGCAACGCCGUGUGAGUGAUGAAGGUCUUCGGGUCGUAAAGCUCUGUUUGAAGGGACGAAACGUAUUUGAGUAAUACUCAAAUAACUUGACGGUACCUUCAGAGGAAGCACCGGCUAACUCCGUGCCAGCAGCCGCGGUAA
rnacentral:rRNA from 1 species